rnacentral:rRNA from 1 species
UACGUAGGGCGCAAGCGUUGUCCGGAAUUAUUGGGCGUAAAGAGUUCGUAGGCGGUUUGUCGCGUCUGCUGUGAAAGCCCGGGGCUUAACCCCGGGUCUGCAGUGGGUACGGGCAGACUGGAGUGCAGUAGGGGAGACUGGAAUUCCUGGUGUAGCGGUGAAAUGCGCAGAUAUCAGGAGGAACACCGAUGGCGAAGGCAGGUCUCUGGGCUGUAACUGACGCUGAGGAGCGAAAGCAUGGGGAGCGAACAGG